UACGUAGGGUGCGAGCGUUAAUCGGAAUUACUGGGCGUAAAGCGUGCGCAGGCGGUCUGUUAAGACCGAUGUGAAAUCCCCGGGCUUAACCUGGGAACUGCAUUGGUGACUGGCAGGCUUUGAGUGUGGCAGAGGGGGUAGAAUUCCACGUGUAGCAGUGAAAUGCGUAGAGAUGUGGAGGAAUACCGAUGGCGAAGGCAGCCCCCUGGGCCAACACUGACGCUCAUGCACGAAAGCGUGGGGAGCAAACAGG
rnacentral:rRNA from 1 species